rnacentral:rRNA from 1 species
UACAGAGGUCCCAAGCGUUGUUCGGAUUCAUUGGGCGUAAAGGGUGCGUAGGCGGCGCGGUAAGUCGGGUGUGAAAUCUCGGGGCUUAACUCCGAAACUGCAUUCGAUACUGCCGUGCUUGAGGACUGGAGAGGAGACUGGAAUUUACGGUGUAGCGGUGAAAUGCGUAGAGAUCGACCAGAACACCGGUGGCGAAGGCGGGUCUCUGGACAGUUCCUGACGCUCAGGCACGAAAGCCAGGGGAGCAAACGGG